UACGUAGGCAGCGAGCGUUGUUCGGAAUUAUUGGGCGUAAAGCGCGCGUAGGCGGUUACUCAAGUCGGAUGUGAAAGCCCUCGGCUUAACUGAGGAAGUGCACCCGAAACUGAGUAGCUAGAGUACUAAAGAGGGUCGCGGAAUUCCCGGUGUAGAGGUGAAAUUCGUAGAUAUCGGGAGGAACACCGGUGGCGAAGGCGGCGACCUGGGUAGAUACUGACGCUGAGGCGCGAAAGCGUGGGGAGCAAACAGG
rnacentral:rRNA from 1 species